rnacentral:rRNA from 1 species
UACGGACGGGGCGAGCGUUGUUCGGAAUCACUGGGCGUAAAGCGCGCGUAGGCGGCUUUGCAAGUGCGGCGUGAAAGUCCUGGGCUCAACCUGGGGACGGCGCUGCGGACUGCAUGGCUGGAGUCCGGAAGAGGGUGGUGGAAUUCCGAGUGUAGAGGUGAAAUUCGUAGAUAUUCGGAAGAACACCAGUGGCGAAGGCGACUCACUGGACAUGUAUUGACGCUGAGGUACGAAAGCGUGGGGAGCAAACAGG